rnacentral:tRNA from 1 species
GCAGUUGUGGCCGAGUGGUUAAGUUGAUGGACUAAAAAUCCAUUGGGGUCUCCCCGCACAGGUUCGAAUCCUGUCGACUGCG